AAAAAACAGAGAACUGAGAAGUAUAAUCAAGUGUUGGAUUCUAGUAAAAUGUUCCACAUGACUCUUCCCGUCUUCCAGAGGCAGAGUCCGAUAUGGAAAUCAAUUUCUUCUCUACUAGAAAUCCAAAGGAAAAGACUGUGUAAUAUUACAGACAUAACAUUAAUAAUUGCACAAAUGAAAGCCCAAUCUGAGAGAGAUCCCUCCUAGUCCUCCGUCUAAAGGAAAAGACUUGUGUAUGUUUUGAUCUCUCCAACAUGUACAAAUUAAGUUCACUACCAACAACAAAAGUUACCAUAAUUGUGCAGACUACUCUAAUUAACUAGGUUAACAUGCAUCCACAUACUUCCGCAUACCGGCACCGCCUCAGCAACAACAGUCACUUAACGGCUGAUUCGAUCCAGUACCCCAAGAACUCUAUUUCCCUGUUCAAUGUCGAUGCUCUAGGGCAAGAUAAUUUUCAAUUCUUCCAUAAUUAUACCUCUUUCUCGUCUCACAGCGAGCCCGAGGUAAGUAAGUAUCCAUGGAGCUCAUUAAUCUCUUCAUGUUUCUUUUUAGCUACGCGAUGUUGAAUUUGACUGAUUCUUAAAUAUGUGGGUUAUAAUUUCAACUUUUUUGCAUGAUAAUACACUCGUGUAUGUGUGUGUGUGUGUAUGUGUGUGUGUGUGUGUGUGUGUGUGUGUGUGUGUGUGUAUAUAUAUAUAUAUAAUAUUACUACAUAUAUAACUGUUUGUAUGUGUACAAGUGUGUACUGAUAAACAGAAAGAAUGGCUGAUUUUUAACUCCUAGUGAUUUUGGUUUACAGUAUUGAAAGAUGUAUCGAGCUCUCAUUAUUUUAAGGGUUCACAUUGAUAAUUUGAUUGGUUAAUGCACUACGAGGCUUCAUUAGUAGGUACCAAGGAUGAACAAUGUGAGAAACGUCGGUGGAAAAAGAAUUUUGAUGUCGUGUGUUGAUUUAUUUAGUAAAUCCAAUAGACUAUGAAAUUAUUUUGGGAAUUCUGCUGUUUUAAAAUUCAAAGCUUUAGAUAUAUGGUGUUCUAAACUUCUAAUAGCUUGUCUUUUAGUUAAUUUGUGGAGUGAAACUUAGUAGCACCUCUAUAUUAACCUGGAUGAACAUUAAAUAUUGAAUGCCUUUAAACACUAAAAGUGUGCCAAACUGUUUCAUUUGAUAACUUGGAUGUUGAUGCACCUUUCUUUACAACAUAUGUCAAUUAGGAACUAAAUGAGAAAGAAGUUGUUUAGCUGUUACAUCAACAUAUCCUUGUACAGAUCACCAUCAGUUGCUGUUGACAUUUUGAGUUAUCAGUAGUUCAAGUCUUAAUGUAACAUAUAUGAAAGGGUUAAACAAGGGAGGCGCAGGUUUUUCAGUACCAGAGAAUAUGAAGGAAAAGGAUGAAAAAGUUAAAAUUAUCAUUUUUUUAAAUUAAUCUUAACCUGGUCCAUGUGUGUUUUUGGAGAAUGUGGUUGAUUAUGCUUCUAACAUUCUACCUAGGAACUUUGGAUAGUUGAAGGACACCUUUAUGGCUUUAUCGAGUUUUUAAUUUGUCUGAUGCAGUUUUAGGGUUGGGAAUUGAAAUGAAUGGCCAUGGUCAAGAUUCUAAUAAUAUAUAAUCUGAGAGGUAAUAACUUUUUGACCAGAAACUAAUUUAAGUUAUUUUUUCCUACUUUGAUGAGGUAUGAUAUAGUGUCUAGAAAAGCAAAUUCUGGGUGAAUCUUCACUGAAAUCUGGUUUCCAGUCAAACAGAUUGAGCAUUUUUCCUAAUUUACUACCGCCCUACUAUUUUGUUGACAUUUUCUUCUUCUUAUAUAUAUAUAAUUUUUUAAUUAUAAGUAUCAAGGUUAGCUUAAAUUCAUUUCAAUUUUUUGUUCUCAAAUAAUAAUUUUAGCUUCAAAUUAUCAUAUUGAUUUUUUGUUUGGGCAAAUGUUAUCCCCAACUGUAUACUAUUCACAUCUUAAGUUUUGUUAAAAACAUUCUAAUAAAAAAUUAGGACUCACUUUUCUGGAUGAAGAGAGUAUAAUACUCAUACUCAUCCUGAGAAGUGCCUUAGUUGGCAGGAGUUGGGUAACGUCUGACCUUUUGUCAACAAGUUAUGACACUGCUCUUGUAUUUUGUACACAAUUGUAAAACACAACUCAAGAUAUUUAGAAGACGUUCUUAUAUUAAUACUUUAAUAGCUAUGAGCUAUAAAAUAUCAUUGCAAGAAAUAUGGAAGAAGAGCAUUUAAGUUUGUAAAACAAAAGUGAGCCACACUGCUUGUAACAGGGCAUCUGUUUAUUGUGGACCAUCUAGAUUCAUGUUGUAUAUUUGACCACAUCAAUUUAUUGGUGGCAGCCAUGUGACUAUAAUUGGGGUUCUUACCCGGUGUAACCCAUCCGUCCACAUCAAAUGUCCAAACUCGGGUUCUGUUUGGUGUUUUCUACCUGUGAAUGUAACCUUGUAUGAUAAUUUCUGGUGUAUCUUGGUGAAACGCAGGGUUGCUGGCUCUACCUUAAUGACCACACCUUUGAAUGGUGAAAUCCUGACAUAGUAUUUUGAAACAGGAGUUCCAACAUUUGUGACUGUUCUAUGGAGUGUUAAAACAGAACCAUUUGUCUUUUCUGGGAAAACAGCUGAGAGAGCUGGGUAGUUCAAAUCCCCUGGAUUGGCAAGGGUGUGUCUGCAAGAUCUGUUGGAAAACUUACCGAA
rnacentral:lncRNA from 1 species